UCAGAUGGAUUUUAAAUGCACCCCACAUUCGAGGAUUUGACAUCGGGCACAUGCAAACGGUCCUGCAUGGCUGAUAAAACAUCCACACUGUCUUUUGAGAGCUGGACGGACAAACUGAAUGGUAAAUGGACUCCUCUGGUUUUCCUGACAUUGGGCAUAUUGGCAUUUUUGUACCCAGUGUGUUUUAAUCCAAUUGAAUGUGCCUUUCCAGCGGAGUUCACACAAGCCAUGGUUGAUUAUGGAAAAGCUCGGUGUUAUAAAGCUAGAUCAAUUAGGAACGUGCCGUGGAAAACCAGCGACCACAAUCUCUAUCAUUGUAUUUCUGUCGAGGAUGUUGAUCCUUCUGAUGAUCCUUCCAAUCAGACAACUCUGUACCAACAUAUGUAUCUAGUUCUGAUUGUACAGGCUAUCGUUUUUCGAAUUCCAUUUAUGUUGUGGAAUCUGAUUAAAAAGAAGUUGGGUAUCCAUUUUAAUGUUCAUACAGGAAGUGGAGAAAAAGACGGCAAAUUCGAGGGCAAGAGUCUCGCCAUCUACAUCUAUUAAUGGAUACAAAACAGGAAAAUUAACAUUUUAUCUCUCGGGGCAUUUACGAUAUUGCAGUGUUUUAUCAAAUUAAUGUAUUUUGUGAGUAUUUACACCCACUUGGAUUUUUUGGAUUUUCUCUUAAGUCAGAACAAAGAAAUCAGAUUCGGUUCCUCUUUUAUAGAAUUUAUGAAGGGAAACAAUGUGACUGUUCGCAAACCCUCUUCAUUUUUACCUCAACACAUCAUGUGCAAUUAUACUUACUCUGUUUACCAGCAUACUAGAAAAUACAAUGCCAUGUGUACUCUGACCCUGAAUCCUUUUUGGAGCACAUGGUGGCGGUGGCGUGGUUGUGGUUAAUCCUCUGUAUCUCUUUCACUAUAGCAGAUGGUAUAUUUCACGUAUUUGGUGCUGUCCUUCCUUUUUUCAGAGUUUGGUUUGUGAAAUCAAAUCUGAUAAAAUCAGAGCUGGGAAAUUCAGAACAUGCCUUGUCAGACCGUAAUAUUGAACGAUUUUCUUCAAACUUGGGAGAAGAUGUAAUUUCCUUUUUAAAGCUGGUCCAAGAUAAUGAAAGCGGAAGUGUUGUUAUGGAAACGGUCACUGAGUUAUGGAGGAUGUAUCAUGGCGACGUACAACACACUCCCGCAAUUUCAUCAAAUUCUGUACCUUUGAGAGCUGCUUUGUCGAGCCCUGAAUCACAGCAAUCACAUGACUAGGAUGGUUGUUGUGCAUUUUUAUUAAGUUUGUGAGAAAAAUGUCAAGAGUUUAAACAUCGAUAUAUUUUUAAAAAAAAAAAAGAACGUUUAAUCCUAUAAUGAUUAAAAAACAGAACGACCAA